rnacentral:rRNA from 1 species
AUUGAACGCUGGCGGCAGGCCUAACACAUGCAAGUCGAACGAGUGGCGGACGGGUGAGUAAUGUCUGGGAAACUGCCUGAUGGAGGGGGAUAACUACUGGAAACGGUCGCUUAUACCGCAUACCAUCGGAUGUGCCCAGCUGGGAUUGGCUAGUAGGUGGGGAAACGGCUCACCUAGGCGACGAUCCCUAGCUGGUCUGAGAGGAUGACGAGCACAACGGGAACUGAGACACGGUCCAGACUCCUACGGGAGGCAGCAGUGGGGAAUAUUGCACAAUGGGCGCAAGCCUGAUGCAGCCAUGCCGCGUGUAUGAAGAAGGCCUUCGGGUUGUAAAGUACUUUCAGCGGGGAGGCGUUACCCGCAGAGGAAGCAACGGCUAACUCCGUGCCAGCAGCCGCGGUAAUAC